CUUUGCUUACUUGUUGUGUUUGAGUGAGAGAGACAUGCUGCAAGCCUCUGGAUGGGUAGGAGACUUGGGCCCUCUCCACCUGGGGCUCAUAGGUGGCAUAUAAAUAUGGGUCUCUGUGGUUUGCUUCUUUGCAUUUUUUUCUUUCCUACUUUUAGGUUAAAAUGUAUUAUAGACUGCUAUGACUACGUAAGUUUCAAAAGGUCGGAAUGGUGAGCCCACCAGAAGUCUGGGAGCAAGAGUGCAUGUAGAGAUUGCAACCAACUGAAAGUGGUUCACCAGCCCAGCCCCUGGAUCCAGCUCAGAGACUCAGGUCACGAUAAGGAUUCACUGAACAUUUUUGAGUAGAAGAAUGACAUGGCCAGAUCUGUGAAUUACUCUGACAGAAGUAUGAAGGAUGGAUUGGAGAAAGAGGAGACCAGUAAAGAGGCCAUUAAAAUGAUCCAGAUGAGAGGUACGCAAAAUUGGAGGGAAAUGUGGUAAACACUGACACAUAUGCCAGGAACUGAGUUGUUCGCCGUCGGGUCGUUGUUGUUCAGUCGUGUCCCACUCUUGGUGACCCCAUUUGGA